AGCCUGAUGCAGCGACGCCGCGUGCGGGAUGGAGGCCUUCGGGUUGUAAACCGCUUUUGUUCAAGGGCAAGGCACGGUUUCGGCCGUGUUGAGUGGAUUGUUCGAAUAAGCACCGGCUAACUACGUGCCAGCAGCCGCGGUAAUAA
rnacentral:rRNA from 1 species